rnacentral:rRNA from 1 species
CCUACGAGAGACAGCAGUAGGGAAUCUUCGGCAAUGGACGAAAGUCUGACCGAGCAACGCCGCGUGAGGGAAGAAGGUUUUCGGAUCGUAAAACUCUGUUGUUAGAGAAGAACAAGGACGUUAGUAACUGAACGUCACCUGACGGUAUCUAACCAGAAAGGCACGGCUAACUACGUGCAGGCAGCCGCGGUAAUACGGAGGUGGCAAGGGUUGGCCGGAUUUAUUGGGUGUAAGGGGAGCGCAGGCGGGUUCUUAAGUCAGAUGUGAAAGCCCGCGGCUCAACCGGGGAAGGUCAUUUGAAACUGGGGAACUUGAGUGCUGGAGAGGCAGACGGAAUUCCUAGUGUAGCGGUGAAAUGCGUAGAUAUUAGGAGGAACACCAGUGGCGAAGGCGGUCUUCUGGACAGUAACUGACGGUGAGGCGCGAAAGCGUGGGGAGCAAACAGGAUUAGAUACCCCUGUAGUC